AUGACGAUCGAUUUGUCCACCAUGCCCGGGAGCUCCUCCUCCCGUCUCCUGGACGCCGCCGCGGGGAGGAAGGACAUGAACUUCUUCAAAAACCGCUACGUGCUUGGGCUCACCGGCGUCGCCGGAAUCGGCGGCUUCCUCUUUGGAUACGACACAGGUGUCAUAUCUGGAGCCCUUCUGUAUAUCCGGGACGAAUUUCCUGCUGUCAAAGACAAUCUAUUCUUGCAGGAGACAAUUGUUAGCAUGGCUUUACUUGGAGCCAUCCUUGGAGCAGCUGGGGGCGGUUGGAUAAAUGAUGCCUACGGUCGUAAGAAGUCUACUCUUCUUGCUGACCUGAUGUUCGCACUUGGUUCACUGGUUAUGUGCGCUGCUGGCGGUCCUUAUGUUCUGAUUCUUGGAAGGCUCUUUGUUGGAUUGGGUGUGGGAAUAGCAUCAGUCACUGCCCCCGUUUACAUCGCUGAAGCUGCUCCUUCAGAAAUCAGGGGAGGUUUGGUGUCAACUAAUGUCCUCAUGAUUACCGGUGGCCAAUUCUUCUCCUACUUGGUGAAUCUUGGCUUUACUGAGGUUCCUGGAACAUGGCGCUGGAUGCUCGGAGUUGCUGCCGUGCCAGCAAUCAUACAGUUUGUGCUGAUGCUUUUUCUGCCAGAAUCUCCCCGCUGGCUUUACCGGAAGGAUGAGAAAGCAAAAGCUAUUGCUGUCCUGGAGCAGAUAUAUGACUCUGGUCGUCUGGAGGAAGAGGUUGAGCUGCUUGCGUCGGCUUCCAUGCAUGAAUUCCAGUCUAACUGUACUGGGAGCUAUUUGGACAUAUUCAGGUUGAAGGAAUUAAGGCUAGCUUUUUUUGCUGGGGCUGGCCUUCAGGCCUUCCAGCAAUUUACCGGCAUCAACACUGUCAUGUACUACAGCCCCACGAUCGUCCAGAUGGCUGGGUUCACUUCCAACAGGCUGGCCCUGCUGCUGUCCCUCGUCGUCGCCGCCAUGAAUGCCAGUGGAACCAUCGUCGGAAUCUACCUCAUCGACCGUUGUGGCCGCCGCCGCCUGGCCCUUACAAGCCUAGCCGGGGUCGUGCUCUCCCUCGUCAUCCUCGCCACGGCCUUCAUACUGCAGUCAUCGUCCAGCCUCUGCGGGAGCCUGUUCAGCGGUUCCUGCCAAGGCGUGCUGGGGUGGUUCGCGGUCGGAGGGCUCGCUCUGUACAUCGCCUUCUUCUCUCCGGGCAUGGGGCCGGUGCCGUGGGCCGUGAACUCGGAGAUCUACCCCGAGGCGUACCGCGGCAUGUGCGGCGGCAUGUCGGCCACCGUCAACUGGAUCUCCAACCUGAUCGUGGCGCAGACGUUCCUGUCGAUCGUGGGGUGGGUCGGCACCGGCCCCACGUUCCUGAUCAUCGCCGGGAUCGCCGUGCUGGCCUUCAUCUUCGUGGCCCUGUACGUGCCGGAGACCAAGGGCCUGAGCUUCGAGGAGGUCGAUCUGCUGUGGAAGGAGAGGGCCUGGGGAAGCCAGGGCAGCCACGAGAGCCUCCUGGGUGCUGCGCCGUAA
rnacentral:rRNA from 1 species